GAAAAUGCCAAGGUCGCUUCCUUCAGGUUUUUCCUUCCAGAAGUGAGUCCGUGCUGCUGCACAUGCCCCAGCCUCUGAAUCUAGAGCUCAGUGCAGGGCCCAUCACUGGACUGAGGGACAGGCUCAUCUAAUUCUGAGUGGAUAUUACUCUGCAUUAUAAUGAAGCCAACAGUCAUAUCUUCUGAUGUGGAGAUUUGAGAAGCAUUUGUAUUGGAUGUGACCGUCAAAAUGCGCCCCAUAUCACUGCAACACCUACAAGUUUUCUUGCAUGGGGUGCUCAGACUUUCACCUCUGGCAAGUAUUACUGGGAGGUCCAUGUGGGGGACUCUUGGAAUUGGGCUUUCGGUGUUUGUAAUAAGUACUGGAAAGGGAAGAAUCAGAAUGGCAAUAUAUAUGGAGAGGAGGGACUCUUUAGUCUUGGGAUUGUUAAGAACGACAUUCAGUGCAGUCUCUUUACCACCUCCCCAGUUACACUGCAGUAUGUCCCAAGACCUACCAACCAUGUAGGAUUAUUCCUGGAUUGUGAAGCUAGAACUGUGAGCUUCGUUGAUGUUAAUCAAAGCUCCCCUAUAUACACCAUCCCUAAUUGCUCCUUCUCACCUCCUCUCAGGCCUAUCUUUUGCUGUAUUCAUCUCUGACCAGAGACAAAUCAGAAAUGUGUUUAUCUGCUGUGGGAACCCCUUUAUCCCAUAAAGCCCUCUUCCUUGUGCCUUAUCAAACAGGACAAAUAGGUUCUGUUUUAUGUCUUGAAUUGCAUUCUAAUGUUAUUAAAACUCAUUUAUUGUGUUACUAUUAAAUGUGGUAAAAAC
rnacentral:lncRNA from 1 species